rnacentral:rRNA from 1 species
GACGAACGCUGGCGGCGUGCCUAAUACAUGCAAGUCGAACGCACUCUCGUUUAGAUUGAAGGAGCUUGCUCCUGAUUGAUAAACAUUUGAGUGAGUGGCGGACGGGUGAGUAACACGUGGGUAACCUGCCCUAAAGUGGGGGAUAACAUUUGGAAACAGAUGCUAAUACCGCAUAAAACCUAAACACCGCAUGGUGUAGGGUUGAAAGAUGGUUUCGGCUAUCACUUUAGGAUGGACCCGCGGUGCAUUAGUUAGUUGGUGAGGUAAAGGCUCACCAAGACCGUGAUGCAUAGCCGACCUGAGAGGGUAAUCGGCCACACUGGGACUGAGACACGGCCCAGACUCCUACGGGAGGCAGCAGUAGGGAAUCUUCCACAAUGGACGAAAGUCUGAUGGAGCAACGCCGCGUGAGUGAAGAAGGUUUUCGGAUCGUAAAACUCUGUUGUUGGAGAAGAAUGUAUCUGAUAGUAACUGAUC